rnacentral:tRNA from 1 species
GGAUGGCGUGGUCUGGCAGUUCGUUGGGCGCGUAGCCCAAAGCUCGUAGGUUCAGAUCCUGCCGCUAUAUA